GUUUCUAAAAUUCCUUUUGAUCUUUAAAUUUUUUAUCUUGAAAUUAUUUAAAAAAUUUAAAACAAAAUAACAAUAAUUAAGUUAAUUAAACACAAUUACUUAUAAUUUAUAUAUUUUGUGGAACUAAUUCUAGAUAAUUUUAAACUCAUAACAAGGAAUAUGGACAUAUUUAGAUGAUGUAGGAAUUAUGUUUUUCUUUUUUUGUUUGGGUGAUGACAAAAUACAUAGGAAGAUGAAAAUAUUUAUAAAUAAAACAUAUUACAUAUAAAAGAGACACAAUAGAUAAUAAAACUAAUAAUCUUGUUUGGCAUAGUUGUUAAGCUUAUGAUUAGAUAUCAUCCAAAGCUGGUUUCGACAUCCCCAUCUACAGAUUUAUAAAUGAUAUUCUUUUAUUAAUUAAUAAAAAUGUAAAUGCCAUGUAUGUAUCCGUUAAAUCCACAUAAGCAUUUGUUACCCAUUUGACUAAUGGAGACAUGGUCAAUGUAGGUAUAAACCUAAAUAUCUUUGUUCGUGUAUGAAAUUCAAAUAUAUUAUGUGUUGAUGUAUAUUUUCAUACAAGGUCUAUGUGUAUGUACUGAUCGGGACCGCGGCCUUCUGUUAAUGUAUGAAUGGGUCGAUUUCCCGAAUUGUGAGCCAUACUUGUAUUGUUAUACAAUGAUGAGGAAAUUGUCAUUUAUUACUACAAAAACUGCACUUUACUAACCUCCGUGGGUGUAAUAGUUGUCUGAAAUCAUCUAUAUAUAUAAAGUUGUGUUCUCUCGAGAGAGACACGUCAGAUUCCAGGUCACAAAGUCAAGCUCUAUGGUAUCGACAUCUGUCCCUCUUUAGUUAUACUGUGUGUUUUGUUUAAUGGGUGACUUUACGUUUUAAUCUUGGAAUCCAUCACACGAUUAUCGUCUUCUUCCAAAAUCUAUACCAAAUAUUAGGGUUCCUGUUCUUCUUCAAUCUCUGAAACCAUCAGUGUUCGUCGUUGUUCUCUAAAACCAACAAUGGAGAAUCGAGAUACCAACAAUGGAGUUUUCGAGAUGUUCAAUGCAACCUGUAACACCUUUAAGAGACGAAACGUUAACGAAGUGACACCAAAGGAACCGACACCAAAGGAUCUCCACCUAUAAAAAGGAUGGAUAGAUCUAGAUCCGGGGGCGUUGGGCCUUCCGGGAAACAACAGGGCAUGAAUCACUUCAUCUCGACGGUGGCGAAGAGUUUCCGCAACUAACAACGCUAACUCCCUAGAACGCCGGUGGUUUCACGUCGUUGAUUGAGCUUCCCCCUACCCAAGCAGUGGAGCUUCUCUAUUUCACUGAUUCUUCAUCGUUUUCUCAAGCAGAGGCCGAUAGUUUAGAUAUCUAUGCACCUCCACAUCACUCUUACGGGACAUUGACUUUUCCUUUUAACUCACACCUCUCGCUAAGGAGAAGCAGCAAAACGGAAACGUCUCCGAUGAGACUACUACUACGAGUGUUCAUAGUUCAUAGUUCUUGGUAAUUCAUAGUUCUUCUUCUAUUUCUUAUAACGCAAUGACUGGUUUGUCGGUGGGACGAUUUCACCAUUUUUAAAGGCUUUAGUGAAGAUGGUAGUGCUUCACAUUCAACUUACCCUCUCAAACAAUUAAUUACGAAUAAGCUUUGUUUCCGAGUUCACUGCUGUUUCCAAACAGGUUUUUUCCUUCUCAAACAGGUUUGUUUCUACUUUCUAUCUAUCUAUCCCUAUUUCAACAUGCUGGAAGCGGAUGAUAAGGACUCAAAAAUCUAUGUGUCCAUGAUGCAAACAUAUCUCUGUCUCUGCAGAGCAUGAUCAAUAUGCUAGAGCAAGAAACAGGGAAGGAUGAUAUAGAAGCUGGAGUAUCCGAAAGAAUAUUCUACAUGCACUUUGAGAAGAUGCAUCACCAAAAGUAAAGGAAGUAUAAUGAAUCUGUAGGAAAGUGAAGGCCAAGGUUAUAUAAGAAACAAGUAGUAAGAAAGAAUGAGAAGAGGACUUUCGCUUAGUGGUUGUCACACUGAUCAAACUUUGGAGUACGCACCAAGGAACAAGCCUAUAGAGCAUUCAGUGAGGUACAUAUCAUACUUGCUGAGACAAAAAGUUAAUAACACAAACGAAGAAUUGAUUUUAGGUGUGAGAGUGCUUCUUGAGUAUGAAUGUUAUGCUCAGCAACUUGGGAUGUAUAUGUAUUGAAGCGAUGGUAAUGUAGAUGGUCCAUUCAUAUGCUAAAAAGAAUUUUGCAGAUUAUUGAACAGUAGCUGAAGGAUACUCUUAGCAAUUACGGAGUAUCAUGUAUUAUUUAGGACUAUUUCGUUGGAAUGUCUCUCAUAAUAUGUGCUUUACCAAUUGAUUUGAUAUUAGUGGCAAACAGAGAAUUUACAAGUGAAACAUACUGGCACAGUACAGGAGGAGUGGAUGACGCGGUAAAGCUGUUCGACGAAGUGUCUAACUGAGACACUUGAUCUCCUGCACUGCUUUAAGUUUGUCUAGAGAGA